rnacentral:tRNA from 1 species
AAGGUUUUAGGUUAAAAAAACUCUUAGCCUUCAAAGCUAAAUAUAAAAUCAUUUUUUUAAACCUUA